AUGCUGCUCUCCAGUUUGCCCUGGGUGCUCCUGGCCGUCACCUUCUCUGGAUCUGGUAUGGCCCAGAAAGUUACCCAAGACCAGCCAUACAUAACCAGUCAAAUAGGGCAAUCUGUCAUUCUGAACUGUCGGUAUGAAGUAAGUUGGAGCGGGUACACGCACUACCUUUUUUGGUAUAAGCAGCUUCCCAGUGGAGAGAUGACUUUCCUUAUUCAUCAGGAAUCUUCUGGCCCGAAUGCAAGGAAUGGCCGCUACUCUGUAAACUUUCAGAGAGCACAGAACUCCAUCAGCCUCACCAUUUCAGCCUUACAGCCGGAAGACUCUGCAACAUACUUUUGUGCAGUCUGGGAACUCACAGUGCUUAAAACAACAGAAGAUUUGGAGAUCUGGUGGGAGGCGGAAGAGCUCUGUGUCACCAGAAGCACCUCCACUCACUGCUGUAUUGACUUGCUCUACAACAAGGUCCUUAUUCAGGAGCAAUGUUACGUGAAAUGCCAUAAAGAUGAAUAA